AUCAGCUGAUAGUUCUGCAAGCCUGUGUCUGAGGGUACUAGUAUCUUUCUUCGGUUGUUCACCUUCAUUCUUACCAACAUAUACAAGGACACAGAUAAAGCAAAAAAUGCCAGGAGCGAAGGUAAUAAAACUUUUAUCAACAAGUUCUUUGAUCGUGAAUGAUUACUGAUAUUGUAGCACUGUGCUAUACCUAGGCGAGGAAGGCCACACAGCGCAUUGUUCCCCAUUAAUGAUUUGAGUGUGAUAUUUGAGAACACUCCUCCUUCUGGUAUCUGUCCAUCCAAUCUGUUAAAAGAAAGGUUCAAGUUGGCAAGGUAAGUGAGAUUGGUCAAGGAUUUUGGGAUGGCACCGGAGAGUGCAUUGGAGGAUAGGUCCAAUUCCUGGAUAUUAAGUAUAUUGCUGAAUGAACCUGGUAUUGAUCCUUGGAAUAAAUUUCUGGACAGAUUGAGAUAUAUCAUCAUGUGGAGUUCACCAAAGGAGACUGGGAUGUCACCUGACAGCUUGUUUCCUGAUAAAUCCAUCAUGGUAAUUGCUGUCAAUUUUCCAACAUCAGCA
rnacentral:lncRNA from 1 species